rnacentral:lncRNA from 1 species
AGAGACAGGGCCUUCUUGGUGGUGGUACCUUGGCUAUGGAACACCCUCCCCAGGGAGAUUAGAUCAGCCUGCUCCCUCCUGAUGUUCUGCAAAAAAUGAAGACAUGGCUCUUUGACCAAGCCUUGGGAAAUCUAUUAAAAUAAUAGAAAUGAAAGAUGUGCCUAUGGAUCACAUGAUUUACCCUGUUGUAUGGAGAUUAUUUAUUUUAAUUGAUUUUAAUUGUAUUUUAAUAUUUUAUUUUAUUUAAAUGGUUGGUUUUGUACUCUGUUUUUAAAGGCAUUGAAUUGUUGCCAUGUUGUGAAGCCGCCUUGAGUCCCUUCCGGGAGAAAGGUGGGGUAAAAGUAUCGUAAAUAAAUAAAUAUUACACAAAUAGCAACAAAAGCAAACCUUCCAAGGAGAGAAUUUUUUGACAUCAUUAUGGAUGCAGAGGGAAAAGGAGGGAGAUAAAAUUCUGCUCUGGAGUUGCGUGCGCACAAAUACUGCAUUACAUAUAAUAUAUAGUUUCAUAUAAUAUAAACAAGUGCUGUAGGCCAUAUUUCAGAAGAAGAAUAUGUUAAAACUGCAUUUAAGUACUCCUUGUCUAAGAAACCUGUGUAUCAUUUGUUUCAGUCAUUUUUGUGUGAAUCUAAAAAAUUAUUUGAAAAAUAAAAACCCAAAUGCAUUUGGGAAAGAGCAGUAUAUUUAUUCAACUCUACAAAUAGUAUAAUGAUACUGUGGACAUUAGUAUUGUAUUAUUAUGUUGCUAUGUCUUCUUACAAUGUCUACUAAGUUUUUAAAAAAUUUCAUGAAAUAGUAAGGAUGCUACAUGCUUCAAUCAGGAUAAAAAGCAGUGUCAGGACCCCGAGAAGUUGUAUAUAUGAAGCAAAGCUAUUGUGACAUGACUUACUCCCUAUUCUUCCACUUCAAUUCAUUCACUGCAUUUCUACAGAUAAACCCAGUAACAGGGAUUGCAAAAGGUAAGAAGUGUGCAGUCUUCCCAAGAGCAAGACAGCAAGAGUUCUUUGUGAGAUAGGCAGGUCAUGUAAUGGUUACUCUGUAAAUGCUGAGACUAGAACAGUUGUCAGUUAACUCUAAGAGGAGUCAGAGAAAGAGCAAAAGGGAACAGAAUGCAUGCAGUCCAGAUAUAGGUGGAAGCUGAUAUAAUGUGUAAGAUAACUCUUUGCUUUUUUGGUACAGAUCCUCAGUGCCUCUCAACCAGUUUAAGCAAAUAAGAGAAGUUGUUUGACUAUAAUUCCCAUCAUUGCUAGGCAACAUGGUCAAUGGUCAAGAAUGACGGGAGUUAAAUUCAACAGCAACUGGAUGCUCAAAACCAAAGCUACUAAAGAUAUGGAGGCUACAUUGAUGCUCUAGCUGAUCUGAAUGGUCACAUCCCUACCACCCCAGAUAUUUUUGUAUCUAAAAAUGUAUCUUGUGCUGUCUAAAUGAUGUGGGAAGCAUUUAUAGCAAAACUGAAUUUUACAAUGCCAAGGGACUCUG